rnacentral:rRNA from 1 species
AAAGCCUGACGCAGCGACGCCGCGUGAGGGAUGAAGGUUCUCGGAUCGUAUACCUCUGUCAGAAGGGAAGAAACCGCACCGUGCUAAUCAGCGGUGCAUUGACGGUACCUAGAGAAGAAGCCCCGGCUAACUUCGUGCCAGCAGCCGCGGUAAUACGAAGGGGGCUAGCGUUGUUCGGAAUUACUGGGCGUAAAGCGCACGUAGGCGGACAUUUAAGUCAGAGGUGAAAUCCCAGGGCUCAACCCUGGAACUGCCUUUGAGACUGGGUGUCUUGAGUACGAGCGAGGUGAGUGGAAUUCCGAGUGUAGAGGUGAAAUUCGUAGAUAUUCGGAAGAACACCAGUGGCGAAGGCGGCUCACUGGCUCGUAACUGACGCUGAGGUGCGAAAGCGUGGGGAGCAAACA